CUGGCGUCAGUGCUCGGGAGCAGCCCCGGGCGGGCCUCUGCUCUGGCCCCUUCUGGGGCCCGCACUCUUGCCCCGGGCCCG
rnacentral:pre_miRNA from 1 species